rnacentral:rRNA from 1 species
GACGAACGCUGGCGGCGUGCUUAACACAUGCAAGUCGAACGGAAAGGCCCUGCUUUUGUGGGGUGCUCGAGUGGCGAACGGGUGAGUAACACGUGAGUAACCUGCCCUUGACUUUGGGAUAACUUCAGGAAACUGGGGCUAAUACCGGAUAGGAGCCCCUGCUGCAUGGUGGGGGUUGGAAAGUUUCGGCGGUUGGGGAUGGACUCGCGGCUUAUCAGCUUGUUGGUGGGGUAGUGGCUUACCAAGGCUUUGACGGGUAGCCGGCCUGAGAGGGUGACCGGCCACAUUGGGACUGAGAUACGGACCAGACUCCUACGGGAGGCAGCAGUGGGGAAUAUUGCACAAUGGGAGGAAGCCUGAUGCAGCAACGCCGCGUGCGGGAUGACGGCCUUCGGGUUGUAAACCGCUUUCGCCUGUGACGAAGCGUGAGUGACGGUAAUGGGUAAAGAAGCACCGGCUAACUACGUG